AAAAAUGCCUUAUUAGUCUUUUAAAAUACCAGGUAGCAGACAAUAGAGCCAAAUACACAUAGAAGUAGCUAUAAAACAAACAAACAAACCUGGGGCUGUCCGUUUGCAUCUUCUGAGACAAUUAAGAAGGAAUUUUUGCUUUGAUUUAAUUUUGUUUUGUUUUAUUUUCCUAUUUUAUCUUAUUAUGCAGGUACUAGGUCAACCCUACUCUACUGUGGGGCCAUGAUAUCAUCCUUUACAGUGUCCUCAAUGCCAGGGAAAAUCUCAGAAGCUAUGGCUGAUAUGCAAGACCCCAGGGCCUGGGUAUUUUAAGUCAAACAUGGAAGACCCUCACUGGGACUAGAGGCAUCUUCCCUUUCCAACCUCUUACCUCAUGAACAAGAGAAUUGCGGCUGGGGAGAUGAUUUGCUUUGACAAUACAGAGGAAAAGCUUCAUCAUCGCUCUUGCCCAAGCAUUGAGUGCCCAACCCUUUAUGACUACCAAAGCUGCAUCUCUUCAUCAUGUGUACCCUGGAAAGGAGGUGGGAGAAAGGAAGAUGAUGAGGUCACCAUGUCAAGAACAUGCAAUAAAUAGAAGGUAUUGAAUGCUGAACCUAGCAGGCACUGGAGUAAGCUCUCGUGGUGAAACAGUGAACAAAGCAAAGAUCCUUACCACGUGCUUUACAUGGGAGUGAGCGAAAAUAUGCAACAAUAAAUGUAAUAAAUAAUUACACUCUGUAAAAUGUUUAAAAGAUCUUAUGGAGGAUGGAAAUAGGAAAACAAAGAAAUUUGGGGUGAUAAAGGAAUGGAUUGCAAUUUCAAAUAAGAUGGAGAGAGUGGGUGGUUGGCUCAGUGGGUUAAGCCUCUGCCUUCAGCUCAGGCCAUGAUCUCAGGGUCCUGGGAUUGAGUCCCACAUCCGGCUCUCUCCUCAGCUGGGAAUCUGCUUCUCCCUCUCUCUCUCUCUGCCUGUCUUUCUGCCUACUUGUGAUCUCUCUCUCUGUGUCAAAUAAAUAAAUAACAACUUAAAAAACAA
rnacentral:lncRNA from 1 species